CUUUCUUUUUGUGAUGAUAAGCUUACCACUAGAUUCAUGGGAAGGGGCAGAGUGGAAGUACUUUUUUCUUUUUCUUUUAUAAGAAUAUGGAACUGCUUGGGCCUUGUUUAUGCAGUGUAAUUGACAAGAGCAUUGUCAAUUUCUCCUUCCAUUCUAAAUGACAACAAGAUGAUGCAUUGCAGUGACCUAUCCACUAGUGCAGGGAUUACCAAUCCCCGGUGAGCGAACCGGUAUCAGUCCACGGCCCAUUGGGAACUGGGGUGCACAAGCGGUGGGCGAUCUCCCAAAACUUCAUUUGCGCAAGCGGCAGGAGAAAGAGGAAAAUGGAGUGUACAAUUUCACUCGGGAACUGGCGAAUUUCAUGGCAGGCAAUUACUCGAAUCCAAAUUGAUGCCGAAGAAUUCUGCAACCAAGGAGAAAGGUUCCAAUUGGUGAUCCAGCCCCUUUCUGCUUUUUGCUUCUGCUCAAACAAUGUUCAUUUGCAAUACAUUACAUCGGAGCAAGUCCCAGAGAGUUUAGUGAACUGAAUAGACAUUUAUGGGCUUACACUGGUAAUUUGCUACAGUUGGCAGCAUCUACACAGGCUGGAGACAGAGGUUGGGAAGAAAGGAGAUGUCACGCGGUAAGAGAUGAAGGCAACGCUUCUUAAAUUACAUUGCUCUCCAACUGCUCACAAUUCACUGACAAGCCUAUUGUUUCUUUCUUUUAAAAAAAAUCAAAGCAGAUUUAAAUGGAGCUGGGAAGGGUUGAGAAAAGAUGGUAAACCUUGCUGUCAUAUUUAAUUACAUACCACUCUGCUACUUUAUUAGGAGAGAAAAAACAUAGCAUGGUUAGAGUAAAAGUGGAGCAUAAAAAUGAGAUGAUGGCGGGGGAGAACACCUACAGACUGAUAAUAGUAUUAAAAUUACUGUAAAAUACUGAGGUCACCUUCCCUAGCCUUAAAAACUUAUUUUAAAAAGCUGGGAAAAGGGAUGAAGAAAAAAAUGCCAAUGGAUGAAGAAUGCACAGGCUUGUUUGUUUCAGGCAUAUCUAGCCUUUUGACUAAAGGGGAACAUAGAUGGUACGUGCACACACACAAACGAUAUAUACAUAUGCUUUAAUGGAUGCAUUUCUCAUCAGCGAUCUUCACUGAUGUGUUUUAAAUGCAAAUGUGGGUGUUUGUGUGUGUGAGAUGCGAUAAGAAACAAAGUCAAGACUCACAAACACACACAUGUGUAUGCAGUGGUGGGAUUCAAAUAAUUUAACAACCGCUUCUCUGCUUUAAUGAUUUCUUCCAAACAACCAGUUCACCAAACUGCUCAGAAAGUUAACAACUGGUUCUCCCAAAGUGGUGCGAACUGGCUGAAUCCCACCACUGUGUGUACGUAUAAGUAUAUGCAUAUAUAUAUAUUUGUUUUCAUAGGUUUUCAUGGGUA